rnacentral:rRNA from 1 species
GAUGAACGCUGGCGGCGUGCUUAACACAUGCAAGUCGAACGGAAAGGCCCAAGCUUGCUUGGGUACUCGAGUGGCGAACGGGUGAGUAACACGUGGGUGAUCUGCCCUGCACUUCGGGAUAAGCCUGGGAAACUGGGUCUAAUACCGGAUAGGACCACAUUUUGGAUGGUGUGGUGGAAAGUUUUUCGGGGUGGGAUGAGCUCGCGGCCUAUCAGCUUGUUGGUGGGGUAAUGGCCUACCAAGGCGUCGACGGGCAGCCGGCCUGAGAGGGUGUACGGCCACAUUGGGACUGCGAUACGGCCCAGACUCCUACGGGAGGCAGCAGUGGGGAAUAUUGCACAAUGGGCGCAAGCCGGAUGCAGCGACGCCGCGUGGGGGAUGACGGCCUUCGGGUUGUAAACUCCUUUCGCUAGGGACGAAGCGUUAUGUGACGGUACCUGGAGAAGAAGCACCGGCUAACUACGUG